ACUCCUACGGGAGGCAUCAGUAGGGAAUAUUGGGCAAUGGGCGAAAGCCUGACCCAGCGACGCCGCGUGAGGGAUGAAGGUCUUCGGAUUGUAAACCUCUUUCAGUAGGGAAGAAGCGAAAGUGACGGUACCUAAAGAAGAAGCACCGGCUAACUAUGUGCCAGCAGCCGCGGUAAUAC
rnacentral:rRNA from 1 species